rnacentral:misc_RNA from 1 species
UAACUGCGUGCAGACGUGUGAACUGCAGGACACAUGAACACCGACAUUUCGAACGCAUAUGGCGGCUUGAAAUAAAUUUCAAGCCACGUCUGGCUGAGGGUCGGAUAAAAAAUAAAAACCAAAGAGACUCUUUCAAGAGUUUUCAUCGCCAAGUUUUACGCUUGGUUAGAUCAAAAAAUGUGUAUGUUUGUUGAAGCUUGUAUAGAAAUUGUCUCAAGUUCUCAGGCAGCAGACAGAAUAAAAUUUGUUUUGUGGAAAGACAACAUACAUGAAUCAUAGACGAAAGUCUAAAUUAUCUAUUGCGACCUCAGAGCAGGCGAGAUUACCCGCUGAACUUAA